UCUGCAACAAACUGAAAGGACCAGCAAGAGGAGGAGUGUUAAAGAGAACAGUUUCCUUACUCGAGAUGCUCUUGACAACUGUCUUCAGAAUCCUGUGAGGAAGGGUUAUCCACUCCCACCACUGCCACUGGACAGACAAAUCCCAGUGCUGGGGCGCUCAGUGAGCACUGGAGGUACCGACUAGGGUGGCAGAGUAAAGAUGCCUUUAGGGAAGCAGCAAGUGGAAAGAGGAAAAUAGAGAAUAUCCUUUACAGAGUGAGGGAAGGGAGGCAGGACCAAUGAGCAGAAUGUGUCUAUCGAGCACAUUCUGGAUGGGGAAACCAGAAGAGCCAUGCCACAGAAUCCUCUGGAGUCUCAUUCCUGAACACUGUUUACGGAACUGUGAAUCCCCAUGGUUAGCAUGCUGUCUGUGAAGUGAUAGAUGCUAUCAAAGGCUCACACACACAUGACAGAAACAGGCGAUAUACAAGGACAGCAAGAGAUCUCACGAGGAUUGUGUUUACAAAUGACCCAGAAACUCCAGAGAACCCCAAAUCAACUCUGUAGAGCUAGCCACACCCGUUGGCCUGGCAGAGACAGACUGCUGGCUGCGUCUCUCUAAGAGAAUGAGGUAACGUUUAUGACCUCUCCAC